UGCCAGCAGCCGCGGUAAUACGGAGGGGGCCAGCGUUGUUCGGAAUUAUUGGGCGUAAAGGGCGCGUAGGCGGCUAGGCAAGUUGGAGGUGAAAGCCCUCGGCUCAACCGAGGAAUUGCCCCCAAAACUGCCUGGCUUGAGUCCCGGAGAGGGUAGUGGAAUUCCCAGUGUAGCGGUGAAAUGCGUAGAUACUGGGAGGAACACCAGUGGCGAAGGCGGCUACCUGGACGGGUACUGACGCUGAGGCGCGAAAGCGUGGGGAGCAAACAGGAUUAGAUA
rnacentral:rRNA from 1 species